UUGAAUAGUAAAUGUUACGUUCAGGAAAUUUAAAGAAUUUGACGGUAUAAAUUCUUCUUAGAGGAAUAUGUUUGUGAAUUGAUAAUCCCCAAAAAUUUUACUUAAUUUAAAUAUUUUGUAUACCUCCGUCUAAAAAAAUGAUUUAAAAAUAUAUUUUUUGAGUUAUUGAAUAAAGGAAGUCAGGUCAAGGUGCAGAUUAUAGUUAAGUUUAAAUGUAUUACAUUUAAUAUAUUAUUCGAUUGAAAAUUGAAAUAUUUUUAUGAAAUUGGAUUUAUAAGUAAAAUGUUUUAUAAAAUAAUUAUUUGAAUUGUGUAAAUGAAUAUGU
rnacentral:rRNA from 1 species